UUUCAGUUCCUAUCUUGAACUUUCAUCAGGAUCAAACAUAUAAAACAAUGCAAAACAAUGUUUUGCAUUGUUUUAUAUGUUUUAUAUGUUUGAUCCUGAUGAAAGUUCCAGAUAGGAACU